GAUGUGCUGUAGACACAGGGGCGGGACUUCCGUUGCAAAAUUCACUCAAUACUGCCCCUCCGUCUUUGCAAUGAAUGUUACGCCGGGACUCAAUUUCCAGGUAGAACAACACUGGGUCGAAUGAUGGAGCGUAUUAUAAGGAGCCGCCCCUUUCGUGAGGAAAAACGUCAUUGCAGCACUGCGCUACGCUCCGUCUGGCCUGUUUGCAUAGUGUCUGUAGACCCCUUAAAAGGGUCUUCAUGGUCAAUCCAUCGUCUGAAGUGGCCGUACAGCAUUUACUACCAUGCAGCCUCUACAGACUUCAAGACGUUCCUACUUCUUGCGCUUAGCGGAGGCAGAGCAGAGCUGUUGUCAAGGAAGCGAGUUUGUGUUAAUGCGGGACGUACCACCCCCAUCUAUCGUCAACCAAUCAUGUCCAUGUGGAGCAACACAGAUUUGAGAGGUGCACGGCGAUGCGCUUUACAUCACUGAGAGGACCUGAUCAAACAGAAGCCUCAGUCUGCCCACUGACCUGGUUUCUUGUUGACUGUUGUUUUUAAAGCAGAAGAACAGUUACCGGUUGCAUCGAUCAACAGCCUAUGAACUACAGCCUCUGCACAUGACCUGUGUCUAGAAGAAACUACUAUGUAGUCGGCACAGAAUAAAGUUUGUGAGAGAAAACAAUUCUGUGGGACUUGUGUCAGUUGCUGUCAUCAUCCUGUCUGAACAGGUUGUAUUUGUGCUUGUUUUGCUUUAUCCCAUGCAGGCUCAACCAACCUCUCCUCAUAAACACACAGUGAAGAACAAGUCAACAGAUGAGGUUCAACAAGCCAUAAAGGUAGACGACCUUGUACCAUCAGUCAAUCUGCUCAUGUGUAUCCAACAGCAUCUUUCUUGAUCCAUCUCAUUGUACCGCGGCAUUUCCAUAGCUAAGAGUGCCCCCUGCUGGUGUGUUGAAACCAUCUGAGCUGCAGGUAUUCCUUUCAUGAUACAAUGUGGUAUAGUUAUGUCAGACAGAGAGAGAGAGAGAGAGAGAGAGAGAGAGAGAGAGUAUGCCGGGUGACUGGUUAUUCCUUUUACAUAGCCCUGUUUGCAUGUACAGUAUAUCCGCCUAUCAAGCCUACACUGACACUUACAAACACUCACCCACUCAUACACUCAUACUAACACCCACAUAAUGUACACUGUACACACACACACACACCCACACACUCACCACCACACACCCACACACCACUUAUGCUGCUGCCAUGUUGUUGACUAUUAUUACUAUUAUUAUUAUUUAUCCAGCUACCAGUCACUUUCUCCUAAUCCCUACCUGCAUGUACAUAUCUACCUCAACUACUCCAGUAUCCAUGCUCAUUGUAAAAUGUGGUACUGGCACUGAACCUGUAUUUAGCUUGCAUUCUCCAGCUUUUUUUUCAUUCCUGUCUUAUUUCUUAUUUCUCCUGUUUUUUGUUGUUGUUAUACUACUUUGAUUUUGUAUACUGCACUGUUGGGAAUUGCUUGCAAGUUAAGCAUUUUCACUGAACUUUUGCCUGUGACAAAUACAACUUGGAAGAACUGUUUAUCAGAGAGAUACAGUACCUUUUGGCUGUUUUCCUUUUGUUGGUAUGAAAGUCUCUUUUCCAGGCCUUUCACACAACACAGAAAUCAUUGCCAGGGAAGCCGGAGAUGGAGAAUAAGAGUUGGUGAUUUGAGACCACACAACACAGAAGAUAAUGUUCUAUUAAAUGUAUUCUUCCCUGAAAAUGACCUGAUUUACCUACCGGUAUUGAAAAUGGUCAAAAUGCCUACAUCUGCAUUCUUCACAUCAUAUAUUCAUGCAGUGCGUGCGUGCGUGCGUGCGUGCGUGCGUGCGUGUGUGUGUGUGUGUGUGUGUGUGUGUGCAUGCUCUCUCUGUGGGUCUAACCCCAAGAAGUUCUGGAAAACGGUUAAAGACCUGGAGAAUAAACCCUCCUCCUAACAGCUGCCCAUGUCCCUUUAAUGUUGAUGAUGUGGUUGUUACUGACAAGGAGCACAUGGCUGAGCUCUUUAAUCACCACUUCAUUAAGUCGGGACUCCUAUUUGACUCAGCCAUGCCUCAUUGCCCGUCCAACAUUUCCUCAUCUCCCACCCCUUCUAAUGAGACUAUCCCCGAUGCUCCUCCCUCUUUUUUCCCUGCCCGCUACAAAGUGAGAGGUGCUCAAGACCCUUUCUUCUUAAAGGUUGCAGUCCUUAUCAUCGCCAAGCCUAUCUCUGACCUUUUUAACCUGUUCCCCCCUCUCAGGGGAGGUUCUGAUUGCUUGGAAAGCAGCUAUGGUGCAUCCUUUAUUUAAAGGGGGAGAUCUAACUUCUAUUCUAUUCUACUCUUCUAAUUUCUAUUUUGCCCUGUUUAUCAAAAGUGUUGGGAAAACUUAUCAAUAAUCAACUGACUGGCAUUCUUGAUGUCUAUAGUAUUCUCUCUGGUGUGCAAUCUGGUUUCCCACUCAGGUUAUGGAUGUGUCACUGCAACCUUAAAGGUCCUAAAUGAUGUCACCAUUGUCCUUGAUUCUAAGCAAUGUUGUGCUGCUGUUUUUAUUGACUUGGCCAAAGCUUUUGAUACAGUAGACCAAUCCAUUCUUGUGUGCUGGCUAAGGAGUAUUGGUGUCUCUGAGGGGUCUUUGGGCUGGUUUGCUAACUACCUCUCUCAAAGAGUGCAGUGUAUAAACUAAGAACAUCUGCUGUCUCAGUCACUGCCUGUCACCAAGGGAGUACCCCAAGACUCCAUCCUAGGCCCCAAGCUCUUCUCAAUUUACAUAUACAACAUAGCUCAGGCAGCAGGAAGCUCACUCAUCCAUUUAUAUGCUGAUGAUACAGUUUUAUACUCAGCUGGCACCUCCCCAGAUCUCUACAACAAAGCUUUCUUAUUAUUUAACCAGGCAAGUCGGUUAAGAACAAAUUAAUCAUAGCCUCAAUUUUGUCUCGCAUAUUGAACAUCGUUGUGGAGUUUCUGUAAUCCUAUAUUCAGAUCAAUUAAGCGAGAAAAAACAUCUCCCAGAUAGGCCAGUCGUGUGAGAAACUCGUCAUCAUGCAAGUGGUGAGACAAGUGAAAAUGAUGGUCAGUAAAGAAAACUUUAAGCUCGACUCUCAAUUUAAAAAAAAAGUGUCAAUACUUUGCCCCUUGAUAACCAGCGCACUUCUGUAUGUUGUAAAAGUGUUACAUGGUCACUGCCCAUAUCAUUGCAUAAUGCAGAAAAUAAAUGAGAGUUCAGGGGCCUUGCUUUAACAAAGUUAACCAUUUUCACUGGAGUGUCAAAAACGUAUUUCAAGCUGUCAGGCAUUCCCUUGGCAGCAAGAGCCUCCCUGUGGAUGCUGCAGUGUACCCAAGUGGCGUCGGGAGCAACUGCUUACACACGCGUUACCACUCCACUAUGUCUCCCUGUCAUGGCUUUUGCGCCAUCAGUACAGAUACCAACACAUAUUGACCACCAAAGUCUAUUUGAUGUCACAAAGAUGUCCAGUACUUAAAAAAAAAUCCUCUCCUGUUGUCCUGGUUUCCAGUGGUUUGCAGAAGAGGAUGUCUUCCUUAACUGACCCCCAUAAACGUAAUGGACAUAUACCAGGAGCUGUGCCAGGCCCGCCACGUCUGUUGACUCAUCCAGCUGUAACGCAUAGAAUUUCACUGGCUUGUAUGCGAAGCAGUAAUUGUUUCAAAACAUCUCCUGCCAUGUCACCGAUGUGUUGUGAAACAGUGUUGUUUGAUGAAUGCAUCGUCUGUAUAGUUUUUUUGGCCUUUCCCCCAGCGUUGUUCCCAGCCACAUACGCAGGAAGAAUGAAGUCCUCCCCAAUAGUAUGGGGCUUGCCUGUCCUAGCCACUCGGUAGCUCACCAUAUAAGACGCUUCUAGCCCCUUCUUGUUAAUGGUAUCUGUUGCUUUCAUACAUGUCUUACUACUCGAAAGUCGUCUUUCUUCUCACUCAAAAAACUCCCGUGGCUUAUUUUUCAAAAGGACAUGUUUCGUUUCUAAAUGUAUGCUCAAGAGUGAAGGUUUCCCGCAAGAGAGUAACGGUUAAUGUGAUUAGAUGUUAAUUAUUUGACUAGGCUACCUGUAUUUGACAUUGUAUUGUUAUUUUAAACUAGAUAGUUUAAUGUUAUUUUAGGCAGUGAAACGAGGCUACUCAGGCGAGAAAAUAAUAUCCCCGUUGGAAAAUAGAAAGGUGUGCCGUACCCCUGUAAAUGUACAGGGAUACCCCUGGGUGGGAAUACCUUCUCUAUCGUAAUUUGUCCUCUUUCACCCCAGCUGUCAAACUAACCCUGAUUCAGAUGACCAUCCUACCCAUGCUAGAUUACGGAGACGUCAUUUAUAGAUUGGCAGGUAAGGGUGCUCUCGAGCCGCUAGAUGUUCUUUACCAUUCGGCCAUCAGAUUUGCCACUAAUGCUCCUUAAACGACACAUCACUGCACUCUAUACACCUUUGUAAACUGAUCAUCUCUGUAUACCCGUCGCACGACCCACUGGUUGAUGCUUAUUUAUAAAACCCUCUUAGGCCUCACUCCCCUCUAUCUGAGAUACUUACUGCAGCCCUCAUCCACCACAUACAACACCCGUUCUGCCAGUCACAUUCUGUUAAAGGUCCCCAAAGCACACACAUCCCUGGGAAGCUCCUAUUUUCAGUUCACUGCAGCUAGCAACUUGAACGAGCUGCAAAAAACACUCAAACUGGACAGUUUUAUCUCAAUCUCUUCAUUCAGACACUCAAUCAUGGACACUCUUACUGACAGCUGUGGCUGCUUCACGUGAUGUAUUGUUGUCUCUACCUUCUUGCCUUUGUGCUGUUGUCUGUGCCCAAUAAUGUUUGAACCAUGUUUUGUGCUGCUGCCAUGUUGUGUUGCUACCAUGUUGUUGUCUCAUGUGGUGUUGCUACCAUGCUGUGUUGUCAUGUGUUUCUGCCAGGUCUUAGGUCUCUCUUUAUGUAGUGUUGUGAUGUCUCUCUUGUCGUGAUGUGUGUCUGUCCUAUAUAUAUAUUUUUGUUAUGCCAGCCGCCGUCAACGCAGGAGGCCAUUUGCCUUUUGGUAGGCCGUCAUUGUAAAUAAGAAUUUUUUCUUAACUGACUCGCCUAGUUCAAUAAAAUAAAAUAAAUGUGUGUGUGUGUGAUCAAUGAUGUCUGUUAUCUGGGUUAGGUUUGUAUGUGACUCAUCAUGGUUGUCCUCUCUGUGUGACAGAAAUGGGACGUUUCUCUCCAGGAAGCAGAUUCACCAGGGCUAUGACAUCAUUCACCACCAACUAUUCCUGUCCGGAGUGACCUUACAAGUAGUGGGCAGCCAUUUGGCUCAAUAGAGAUCAACGUCCGCCUGCCUCUCCAAGUCUGACCAGAAGGUGUCACACUUUACAUUCAAUGUCAACAUUAACAAGCCAGAGCAAAGAUGAGAACGCUUCCCAUCCCUCGUACACUGUCUUUCCUCAAGAGAGUUGCAGCCUUUAGGCAUUUCACACAUGAUCAAUGAACUCUACCCUCAUAUUCCACUAAUUAUUAUUUAACCACCUGGAACACAUGAAGGGUUUGUGGUUAACCACUUGAGAGGUGUUACAUUUAGACUUUGCACCCCAGGGGGAGACAUACAAAGCCAGGUCUUUCUCCUUCACACACUGUCAAAAGAGGAGUGUUCUGUAAUUGUUUGGUGGUAAAGUGUUGAGAAUAAGACGGUAAGGCAAGUCUAUCUACUAGCUGUCACUAAUCUAACCAAUGUCAGAUUCUCUCUCUGUGGCCCCUGUUAACAUUGUCUAUUUUUCGGAUCUAAGCUAGCAUGGGCUAUGUAGAUAUUUGUUUUGAAUCAAAGGGAUUAGAGAGAGUUUGAGUGGCAUUGGAGAGUACUUUUUGUACCCACAGAUGUAAAGCCUUUGAAUUAUUUAAGUGGAAGACUAACGGCUCGAGGAUCAGCCUCCUCAGCAGCAAUAUAGACAGUGACGACAGGCUCUAACCCUUUCAUGGACCACCAGGCUUUAUAAUGCCUCUACGCUUUGCAAAAACAGUUUUGUGGCAGCGUUUUUGAUCUGCAUUUCAAAAGCGGUAGAUUCAUACAAAAUGCUCCUUCCUGUAUAGGGGCCUCCUAAUUGAGGUAUACAUUCAUGAAAACGUAUUUUGAAAGUUAAGAGAGAAUGCAACCAUAUAUUGCAUUGAAAGAUUUCUUAAUGAGAACAAUUAGCAUAAUGGAGGAAUGUGAUACAAAAACCUAUAUCCUUUAAAUGACUGGAAAUCUCCUUCGUACAAGAAUGCAUGCAGUGUUGACUCACAUAGGCUACUGUAUACAAAAUCACAUUUCUAUUAUUUUACCAGACCUCAGUCCAAAUGGCUUAGUAUCAUAUUUGUUAUGUUCUGUUGGGUCAAUGCUUUGAGAAAUAUUUUUCACAGGCAGAUGUAAUUUGACUUUACUGUGGUCACUAAUGUCAUUUCUAUUCAUUUCGAAAUGGAAAGAGAUUCUUCCACAAUAGGAAAGGCCUCUCAGACGUGUCCAUGACAGCAUGCCCCUCCAGGACUCAUCAUGUGCUCUGGUGGAGAGGAAAGACCUGAGACAACAGUCACACCUGGAAGGUGACAUCCUUCCAGACCCUGCAAAAACCUGGCCUGAAUCCCCACUCACAAAAGCACAUGGAAAGUGAAAGAGGGGAUUUACACUUGCAACACUCCAGGCAUAAUGUUGAAAAGUUAAACAUUCAGAAUGAUUGUUUGUUUCCAUGGUUAAGUGAGAAAAAAAAUUGUUCAACAGGGAAUAAAACAUUGCGGAUAAAGUU